UAGGGAAUAUUGGUAAUGUGCGAAAGCGCGAACCAGCAACGCCGCGUGUGCGAUGAAGGCCUUCGGGUCGUAAAGCACUUUUUGGAGGGAAGAGGAAGGACGGUACCUCCAGAAUAAGUCUCGGCUAACUACGUGCCAGCAGCCGCGGUAAAACGUAGGAGGCGAGCGUUAUCCGGAUUUACUGGGUGUAAAGCGCGUGCAGGCGGUUUGGAAAGUUGGAUGUGAAAGCUCCCGGCUUAACUGGGAGAGGUCGUUCAAAACUACCAGACUAGAGAGUGGUAGAGGGAGGUGGAAUUCCGGGUGUAGUGGUGAAAUGCGUAGAUAUCCGGAGGAACACCAGUGGCGAAAGCGGCCUCCUGGACCAUUUCUGACGCUCAGACGCGAAAGCUAGGGGAGCGAA
rnacentral:rRNA from 1 species